GAGUUUGAUCAUGGCUCAGGAUGAACGCUGGCGGCGUGCUUAACACAUGCAAGUCGAGCGAUGAAGUUUCCUUCGGGAAACGGAUUAGCGGCGGACGGGUGAGUAACACGUGGGUAACCUGCCUCAUAGAGUGGAAUAGCCUUCCGAAAGGAAGAUUAAUACCGCAUAACAUUGAAAGAUGGCAUCAUCAUUCAACCAAAGGAGAAAUCCGCUGAUAGAUGGGCUUGCGUCUGAUUAGAUAGUUGGUGUGGUAAC
rnacentral:rRNA from 1 species